UAGGUGGGCUGCGUGUUUUUCCUUGUGUCCCAUUUUCAGUGGGACUGUGACAGCAAGCUGCAGGAUCCCAGGGCAGUCCUAUAGCUCAGGGAAUUGUAUUUGCUGUUCUAGGAACUGUGGCACUGCCUGAAACCAAUCCUCUGCUCUUCCCUCUGCUUUUUCCUUCUCCUUCCUUAGGAUCCUCUGGCUCCUCAUCAUAUUUUCACUCCUAGCUGGGUUCUGGGCCCUCUGCUCCUCUCGGCUGCCUGGGUGCCAACCUAUAUUCAGUCCCAUAAUUGUCCCUACCAGCCAAAAGAAGCAACCUCAGGAGAAAUUUGGCUCAAAACCUGGGAUGGAGUGUGCUUGCUAGACUGAAGGUUCUAGAAGGACCAAGAGACCCUGUGCAACAUAUUCUGCUGAAACUGCAGCUCACCAGGCCCAAGGAGAGUGGACAGGACACUGCUGGCAAUCUCUUUCCUUAUGACUGCAUGUGCAUAACUCCAGGAGAUCUGCUCAGUGUUGGCUCUUCUGUUGGCAGCAAAACCCCAUCUCCUCAGUGCUGUAAGAUGGAAUGACUGAAGAUCUUUGCUGUAUUAAGACCCUGCUGAGAAAUCAUCACCUGAUUUGAACUCUGGGCUUCUGCUGUUGACCACCAAAGAGGAAAUAAAGAGGAGCAUGAGAAAGAUGUUACCAAGAACAUUGUUUUGGCACUAAAGGA
rnacentral:lncRNA from 1 species